rnacentral:rRNA from 1 species
GACGAACGCUGGCGGCGUGCCUAAUACAUGCAAGUCGAGCGAGCGGAAUCAACAGAUUUACUUCGGUAAUGACGUUGGGAAAGCGAGCGGCGGAUGGGUGAGUAACACGUGGGGAACCUGCCCCUAAGUCUGGGAUACCAUUUGGAAACAGGUGCUAAUACCGGAUAAUAAAGCAGAUCGCAUGAUCAGCUUUUGAAAGGCGGCGUAAGCUGUCGCUAAGGGAUGGCCCCGCGGUGCAUUAGCUAGUUGGUAAGGUAACGGCUUACCAAGGCGACGAUGCAUAGCCGAGUUGAGAGACUGAUCGGCCACAUUGGGACUGAGACACGGCCCAAAACUCCUACGGGGAGGCAGCAGUAGGGAAUCUUCCACAAUGGACGCAAGUCUGAUGGAGCAAACGCCGCGUGAGUGAAGAAGGGCCUUCGGGUCGUAAAAGCUCUGUUGUCGGGGACGAAUGUAGUAACCAUCAACAACGGUAAC